rnacentral:snoRNA from 12 species
CAGCAUGUUCCCAAGGUUUAUGGCUGGUGGUAGCCAUGGGAUCUCCAACUGCAUGCAAGAAUAACCUGGAGAGACUUUGACAGCACAGGUCAGCAUAAUACCUGUAGCUGCCACUCAACUUUCCUAUAUUU